rnacentral:rRNA from 1 species
UACGGAGGGGGCUAGCGUUGUUCGGAAUUACUGGGCGUAAAGCGCACGUAGGCGGCUUUGUAAGUUAGAGGUGAAAGCCCGGGGCUCAACUCCGGAAUUGCCUUUAAGACUGCAUCGCUAGAAUUGUGGAGAGGUAAGUGGAAUUCCGAGUGUAGAGGUGAAAUUCGUAGAUAUUCGGAAGAACACCAGUGGCGAAGGCGGCUUUCUGGACGACAACUGACGCUGAGACGCGAAAGCGUGGGGAGCAAACAGG